rnacentral:rRNA from 1 species
ACGGGGGGAGCAAGCGUUGUUCGGAAUUACUGGGCGUAAAGGGCGCGUAGGCGGCCCUGUAAGUCCCGUGUGAAAUCCCUCGGCUCAACUGAGGAACUGCACGGGAUACUGCUGGGCUUGAGUUCGGGAGAGGGAAGCGGAAUUCCGGGUGUAGCGGUGAAAUGCGUAGAUAUCCGGAGGAACACCGGUGGCGAAGGCGGCUUCCUGGACCGAUACUGACGCUGAGGCGCGAAAGCCAGGGGAGCAAACGGGA